rfam:Exophiala spinifera strain CBS 89968 unplaced genomic scaffold supercont1.4, whole genome shotgun sequence.
ACAAUCGACCAUAGGACGAGGAGAACAGGGCUUCCCGUUCGCUCAGCCAUACUUAAGCCUCGUGCCGGCGUGUCAGUAGUUAAGUGGGUGACCAUUAGCGAAUCCACGCUGUUGAUUGUU